CCUACGGGUGGCAGCAGUGGGGAAUAUUGGACAAUGGGGGGAACCCUGAUCCAGCGACGCCGCGUGAGUGAAGAAGUAUUUCGGUAUGUAAAGCUCUAUCAGUAGGGAAGAAAAGGACGCUACCUGACGAAGAAGCCCCGGCUAACAACGCGCCAGAAGCCGCGGUAAUAUGUAGGGGGCAAGGGUUAUCCGGAUGUACUGGGUGUAAAGGGAGCGUAGGCGGUGCAGCAAGUCUGAUGUGAAAGGUCGGGGCCCAACCCCGGGACUGCAGUGGAAACUGUUGAACUGGAGUACAGGAGAGGUAAGCGGAAUGCCUGGUGUAGCGGUGAAAUGCGUAGAUAUUAGGAAGAACACCAGUGGCGAAGGCGGCUUACUGGACUGUAACUGACGUUGAGGCUCGAAAGCGUGGGGAGCAAACAGGAUUAGAUACCCUGGUAGUC
rnacentral:rRNA from 1 species